AGAGUUUGAUCAUGGCUCAGGAUGAACGCUGGCGGUAUGCUUAACACAUGCAAGUCGAACGGACUCUUCGGAGUUAGUGGCGGACGGGUGAGUAACGCGUGAGAAUCUGGCUUCAGGUUCGGGACAACAGUUGGAAACGGCUGCUAAUACCGGAUGUGCCUUAUGGUGAAAGAUUUAUCACCUGAAGAUGAGCUCGCGUCUGAUUAGCUAGUAGGUGUGGUAAGAGCGCACCUAGGCGACGAUCAGUAGCUGGUCUGAGAGGAUGAUCAGCCACACUGGGACUGAGACACGGCCCAGACUCCUACGGGAGGCAGCAGUGGGGAAUUUUCCGCAAUGGGCGAAAGCCUGACGGAGCAAUACCGCGUGAGGGAGGAAGGCUCUUGGGUUGUAAACCUCUUUUCUCAGGGAAGAAUGAUGACGGUACCUGAGGAAUAAGCAUCGGCUAACUCCGUGCCAGCAGCCGCGGUAAUACGGAGGAUGCAAGCGUUAUCCGGAAUGAUUGGGCGUAAAGCGUCCGCAGGUGGCAAUGUAAGUCUGCUGUCAAAGCGUCUGGCUCAACCAGAUAAAGGCAGUGGAAACUACAUAGCUAGAGUAAGGUAGGGGUAGAGGGAAUUCCUGGUGUAGCGGUGAAAUGCGUAGAGAUCAGGAAGAACACCGGUGGCGAAAGCGCUCUGCUGGACCUUAACUGACACUGAGGGACGAAAGCUAGGGGAGCGAAUGGGAUUAGAUACCCCAGUAGUCC
rnacentral:rRNA from 1 species